GUUAAAGCCUGGUGCAGUGGUAAGUGACAGGUAAAGGAAAAGAAAGGGCGUGGGUUCGAGUCCCACUCCUUUAACG